GCAGAGAGGUCACACCCGUUCCCAUACCGAACACGGAAGUUAAGCUAUCUAGCGCCGAUGGUAGUUGGGACCUUGUCCCUGUGAGAGUAGGACGUCGCCAAGC
rnacentral:rRNA from 1 species